GACGAACGCUGGCGGCGUGCUUAACACAUGCAAGUCGAACGGAAAGGCCCUGCUUUUGUGGGGUGCUCGAGUGGCGAACGGGUGCGUAACGCGUGGGAACCUGCCCUUAGGUUCGGAAUAACUCCCCGAAAGGGGUGCUAAUACCGGAUAAUGUCUUCGGACCAAAGAUUUAUCGCCUUUGGAUGGGCCCGCGUUGGAUUAGCUAGUUGGUAGGGUAAAAGCCUACCAAGGCGACGAUCCAUAGCUGGUCUGAGAGGAUGAUCAGCCACACUGGGACUGAGACACGGCCCAGACUCCUACGGGAGGCAGCAGUGGGGAAUAUUGGACAAUGGGCGAAAGCCUGAUCCAGCAAUGCCGCGUGAGUGAUGAAGGCCUUAGGGUUGUAAAGCUCUUUUACCCGGGAUGAUAAUGACAGUACCGGGAGAAUAAGCUCCGGCUAACUCCGUG
rnacentral:rRNA from 1 species